rnacentral:rRNA from 1 species
GCGACGACGGGUAGCCGGCCUGAGAGGGUGACCGGCCACACUGGGACUGAGACACGGCCCAGACUCCUACGGGAGGCAGCAGUGGGGAAUAUUGCACAAUGGGCGCAAGCCUGAUGCAGCGACGCCGCGUGAGGGAUGACGGCCUUCGGGUUGUAAACCUCUUUCAGCAGGGAAGAAGCCACWAGUGACGGUACCUGCAGAAGAAGCGCCGGCUAACUACGUGCCAGCAGCCGCGGUAAUACGUAGGGCGCAAGCGUUGUCCGGAAUUAUUGGGCGUAAAGAGCUCGUAGGCGGUUUGUCGCGUCUGCUGUGAAAGCCCGGGGCUCAACCCCGGGUCUGCAGUGGGUACGGGCAGACUAGAGUGCAGUAGGGGAGACUGGAAUUCCUGGUGUAGCGGUGAAAUGCGCAGAUAUCAGGAGGAACACCGAUGGCGAAGGCAGGUCUCUGGGCUGUUACUGACGCUGAGGAGCGAAAGCAUGGGGAGCGAACAGGAUUAGAUACCCUGGUAGUCCAUGCCGUAAACGUUGGGCACUAGGUGUGGGGGACAUUCCACGUUCUCCGCGCCGUAGCUAACGCAUUAAGUGCCCCGCCUGGGGAGUACGGA